rnacentral:rRNA from 1 species
AUUGAAUGCUGGCGGCAGGCCUAACACAUGCAAGUCGAGCGGAUGAAGGGAGCUUGCUCCUGGAUUCAGCGGCGGACGGGUGAGUAAUGCCUAGGAAUCUGCCUGGUAGUGGGGGAUAACGUCCGGAAACGGGCGCUAAUACCGCAUACGUCCUGAGGGAGAAAGUGGGGGAUCUUCGGACCUCACGCUAUCAGAUGAGCCUAGGUCGGAUUAGCUAGUUGGUGGGGUAAAGGCCUACCAAGGCGACGAUCCGUAACUGGUCUGAGAGGAUGAUCAGACACACUGGAACUGAGACACGGUCCAGACUCCUACGGGAGGCAGCAGUGGGGAAUAUUGGACAAUGGGCGAAAGCCUGAUCCAGCCAUGCCGCGUGUGUGAAGAAGGUCUUCGGAUUGUAAAGCACUUUAAGUUGGGAGGAAGGGCAGUAAGUUAAUACCUUGCUGUUUUGACGUUACCAACAGAAUAAGCACCGGCUAACUUCGUG